GACGAACGCUGGCGGCGUGCUUAACACAUGCAAGUCGAACGAAGUGGCGAACGGGUGAGUAAUACGUGAGUAACCUGCCCUCCUUUUUGGGAUAAGCCUUGGAAACGGGGUCUAAUACAGAAUAAAGGGGGAUGGGCUCGCGGCCGUUCAGAUUGUUGGUGGGGUGAUGGCCUACCAAGGCGGUGACGGGUAGCCGGCCUGAGAGGGUGACCGGCCACAUUGGGACUGAGAUACGGCCCAGACUCCUACGGGAGGCAGCAGUGGGGGAUAUUGCACAAUGGGCGAAAGCCUGAUGCAGCCACGCCGCGUGGGGGAUGAAGGCUUUCGGGUUGUAAACCUCUUUCGCUAUCGAACCUUUACCUUUCGCCGAAGCUCCGGCUAACUACGUGCCAGCUGCCGCGGUCUUUC
rnacentral:rRNA from 1 species